UACGAAGGGGGCGAGCGUUGUUCGGAUCUACUGGGCGUAAAGGGCGCGCAGGCGGCGAUUUUUGUCAGGCGUGAAAGCCCCGGGCUCAACCUGGGAACUGCGUUUGAUACGGGAUUGCUAGAGAUCGGGAGAGGAGAGCGGAAUUCCCGGUGUAGAGGUGAAAUUCGUAGAUAUCGGGAGGAACACCAGUGGCGAAGGCGGCUCUCUGGGCAGAUACUGACGCUGAGACGCGAAAGCGUGGGUAGCAAACAGG
rnacentral:rRNA from 1 species